GGCUGCAAAGUGGAAUCCUUUUGCUUGAAUGUUGAAGCAGUGAACACACACAGAGAGAAGCCUGUGAAUGUGUCUGUGACCAGAGACACAGAAGACGCCUUACUGACCGUCCCAGACCACUUUUGAAUGGAGCGGGCGGAAGAGAUGCAGCACCUGCAGUGUCCACAGUGCCCUGCGGUUUCAGAUUUAUGUCGGAGUUGCUUUAUGCCAUCUUUUGUAAAUGUAUGACAGCGGCAAUGUAUGUUGUUUUACCUUAAAGUAGCUGUGUGUGUGUGUGUGCGAGCGUGUGCGUAUGCGUGUGUGCGCAUGUGUGCCUGGAGAAGGUGCUGGAGGUGUGUUUCAGGGAACUCUUUCAUAUUUGGAAAGCCAGGAAAUGUACUGUUCAUGCUGGUUACAUCGACUCCGAAAGGAACUUCCCGCAUGCUGGCUGAUGCCGUGGCAGUCAGUGAAGCUGCAAGCACAAUAAGAAGCCUUAUGAAGCCUUGUGAACUGUACAGGACAGCUCAAGGAAUCACUGCUUUCUGUGUCCGGUGAAGUGGAAGACAGAAUUCCCAGGAUUCAUCCCAGCAGACACUUCCCCACCCUCUGCCCUGGAACCUCUUCUAGCUCUACCAAAAGCCUCAGAACACAUUCUGACUGUAUCUCUGGCCUGGAAACCCUCCUGGCUCUACCCAAAGCCUCAGAACACAUUCUGACUGUACCUCUGGCCUGGAAUCCCUUCUGGCUCUACCCAAAGCCUCAGAACACAUUCUGACUGUAUCUCUGGCAUGGAAACCCUUCUGGCUCUACCCAAAGCCUCAGAACACAUUCUGACUGUACCUCUGGCCUGGAACCUGUUCGAACUCUAUUCGAGACCUCAGAACACAUUCUGACAGUACCUCUGGCCCAAAACCCAUUCUAGCUCUACCCGAAGCUUCAGAACACAUUCUGACUGUACUUCUGACACCAGUUUUAGUAAUUUAUUAAACGAACGUACAAAAAUACAGAACAUACACAAGCUAAUAUAACUGGGGAAGCUACAGGAAGUAUGAGAGUUUGUAUGAGUGUAGGAGUGUGAGUGUUAGUGUACACUUGUGUGCCUGUACAUGCAUGUGCGUGUACUUGUGUUAUUUUAACAAAGGAGAAAACAAAUUUAGCUUGUUGCUUGCGUUUGUGUAGUGGUAUCCAUGUCUGAAGAACCUAAUUUGGCUGCAAGUGAGAGCGAAGCAUAGCUUCAACUUAUAAGCGCAACAAUAACUAAUAGCUGGUUAUUCACUGACUACUGGUAGUAUUAAGAUUGUUAGAUCGUUAGAGUUCGAGUUGGAGAGUUAGCUGGAAGGAAAGACAGACCACGUGUGGUUACACUAUGUGUAGACAGUGAGCCGAUUCAAGUAAUUGCACAGCUAACAAUUCAUUCAGGUGAUCAGACAAAUAGGAACAAAAAAAAUCACAUUAAUCUUAGUUAAGACUAAGCUAAACUGCAGCUACUGCCUGGGAUGUUUAGUGAGUCUUAUGGAGAUUCUUCCACGUGUUGUACCUGGUCCCUGUGGGCUUUUGGGAGAACACAACUGUGGAGUUGGGAACUGUGGAGGUUUCCAAUGGUGGAGGUUUUGUCUUGUUCGGUCGUCUGAAGAUGUCCUUUUUCUGCUUGGAAAAAGUUUGUUUUGCUGCUUAGAAAAAGUUGGUUUUGCUUCAGUUUCUUGUGGUGAGCAAUCGCAGCACUGGGAGUACGCUAGGUUCCACGUGGGUUGAAGUAGACUAAGUCAGUGUAAGGCGAGCUAAGUCAGCAGCACCUAUUUGCCGUGGACAGUGACUUUAAUGUUUGUUCAGAUAAGUCUCCAGGGUAAUAACAGCAAUCCUGGGCUUUCUGUAAACCUUGGAAUUUAGGAGAGCUCCACCAAGUUGUGGGAGCUUUGGAGAUGGGCUUAUAGAAGCUCCACAGAGUUGUGGGAGGACCAACGACAAUGUCCAAGCGCCUGGAAUGAGAGGACGACAAAAGGACAAAAGGCCAAGAGAAAAGGUAAUGGGUUGUACCCAGUUUUAUAAGUUGUUGUGUGUUUCCAGGGUGAGAGAAUUGGCUCACUAUAACUAGAUGUCACACUGAGGGUGGUGUUGUAGAUGUCACUUGUGUUUCCUGUGGAAAGUAUAGAAAGUAGCUCCAUUGUCCCUACACUGCAGAAGCUAUUCUAGCUGUAACUGAGACUGCAGAGCAAAUUCUGACACUACCCCUGACCGCAGAACCCAUUUUGACCGUACCCAAGAUCACAGAACUGGUUCCGACUGUACCAAAGUCUGGAGAAUCCGUUCCGACUGUACUAAAGACCACAGAAGCCAUUCUGACUGUAUCAAAGACUGCAAAACUCAAUCUGAAAGUACCCCUGACCACUGAACCUGUUCUGACUGUACCCCUUGCCACAGCACCCAUUCUGACUGCACUCCUAAGCACAGAACCCAUUCCGACUGUAUCCCUGACAACAGAAUCCAUUCUGGCUGUACUUAAGAUGACAAGACCCGUUCUGACUGAACUCCUGACCACAGAACAUAUUCUGACUGUACCAAAGACUGCAGAACCUGUUCUAAGUGUGCCCCUGACCACAAAACCUGUUCUGACUGUGCCCAAGACCACAGGACCCCUCCUGACUGAACCUGAGACUACAGAACCUGUUCUGACUGUACUCCUUACCGUUGAACCAGUUCUGACUGUGCCCAAGACCACAGGACCCGUUCUGAUUGUACCUAUGACCAUAGAACCUGUUAUGACUGUACCCGUCACCACAGAACCCAUUCUAACUGUACCAAAGUCUCUAGAACCCGUUCUGACUGUGCCCUGAUUGCAGAACCUGUUCUUAUGACUGUACACGAGAACCAGACUGUAUGGCCAGUGCAUUUAAUGUAGAUCUCUGAGGUGUGUUCUGUGCUCCUAGUGUAGAAACGUGGUGUGUGUGUGUGUGUGUGGUCCAAAGGUGUAAUUUACGGGAGGGAUAUUACAAAACAGGCCAAAUAACACCCCCAAUAAUAUAGCCUAAUGAUGAGAAAAAUAAUAUAAUAUAUAUAACAAUAAUAAUUUCAUAAAGAUUUUCAUGGGGUUUUCAUGAUUUUAUUGGGAUAUAGGUGUACUAAUCAAUAAGACUGGGUGCUUGUCACGGAAGUUGCAGGUGCCACGGAUUCUGUGACUUCCUCCAUUUUCUUGUUUUUAGUGCUAACCGUGUUUUUCAGCAGUUUUGGAUGGCAACAGUCAACCUUAACGUAACCUAUGGUGUUUAUUAGUAUAGGCCUACGGAUUUUAUCAAUAGCCUAUUGCCAAAUGCAGGGAGAAACAAAGUACGACAAUGUAUGCAGAAUGUGCUGGGAUCAAGAUUCUGGUGUGUGUGUGUGUGUGGUCUGUGCUCCUAGUGUAGAGACAUGGUGUGUGUGUGGUCUGUGCUCCUAGUGUACAGACAUGGUGUGUGUGUGUGGUCUGUGUUCCUAGUGUAGAAACAUGGUGUGUGUGUGUGUGGUCUGUGCUCCUAGUGUAGAGACAUGGUGUGUGUGUGUGGUCUGUGCUCCUAGUGAAGAGACAUGGUGUGUGUGUGUGUGGUCUGUGCUUAUAGUGUAGACAUGGUGUGUGUGUGUGGUCUGUGCUCCUAGUGUAGAGACAUAGUGUGUGUGGUCUUGUUGUACUCUGAGCAUUGUGUGUACUCUGAUUGUGCAACAAAGUUCUGAUGAUAACUUCUACUGGUGUAUUAAAUGCACUUCCAUUUAAGAAAAUAAAAGUCUACAAAUCCUGUA